AACCUAUGAUAAGGGCACCUUCUCAAUAAAUCCUUAAAUCUCUCCCAUGCAUCAUAUAAUGUCUCUAAAUUGAUCUAGGCAAAAGAAGAAAUGUCAUUCCUCAACUU
rfam:Gossypium arboreum cultivar AKA8401 contig_23092_1, whole genome shotgun sequence.